GGGUGAGUAACGCGUGGGAAACCUGCCCUAUACUGGGGGAUAGCAGUUGGAAACGACUGAUAAUACCGCAUAAGCGCACAGCUUCGCAUGAAGCAGUGUGAAAAACUCCGGUGGUAUAGGAUGGUCCCGCGUCUGAUUAGCUAGUUGGUGAGGUAACGGCCCACCAAGGCAACGAUCAGUAGCCGGCCUGAGAGGGUGUACGGCCACAUUGGGACUGAGACACGGCCCAAACUCCUACGGGAGGCAGCAGUGGGGAAUAUUGGACAAUGGGGGAAACCCUGAUCCAGCGACGCCGCGUGAACGAAGAAGUAUUUCGGUAUGUAAAGUUCUAUCAGCAGGGAAGAUAAUGACGGUACCUGACUAAGAAGCACCCGCUAAAUACGUGCCAGCAGCCGCGGUAAUACGUAUGGUGCAAGCGUUAUCCGGAUUUACUGGGUGUAAAGGGUGCGUAGGUGGAAUGGUAAGUCAGAUGUGAAAACUAUGGGCUCAACCCAUAGCCUGCAUUUGAAACUGCCGAUCUAGAGUGCAGGAGAGGAAAGUGGAAUUCCUAGUGUAGCGGUGAAAUGCGUAGAUAUUAGGAGGAACACCAGUGGCGAAGGCGGCUUUCUGGACUGUAACUG
rnacentral:rRNA from 1 species